rnacentral:lncRNA from 1 species
AAGAUUUUUCUUUUAUUUAUUUAUUUAUUUAAUUUAUUUAUUUAAUUUUUUUUUUCGUUUUUUUUGUUUUCGUUUUCUGUUUUUUUUUCGUUUUCCAUUUUUCGUUUUUUUUUUGAAAAAAUAUUCUGAUUGUCAUGAUGAAAUGCAAAUGCUAAAUGACCUAAAAAUGAAUGCAUACAUGAGGUGUAAAGCGUAUGCUUCCAAGAAAAAUGAAGGGUAAAUUUUGG